rfam:Ipomoea nil DNA, scaffold: scaffold1421, cultivar: Tokyo-kokei standard.
CGCCCCUAUGAAGAAUGUUUUCAAUCAAUGUUAAAAGUAGUGGACUGAAUAUUAUGCAUUGAGGAUAAAUUUAAACUCUGAGGGGUU